rnacentral:rRNA from 1 species
AAGUCCGUAACGAGCGCAACCCUGUCCUUAGUUACCAGCACGUUAUGGUGGGCACUCUAAGGAGACUGCCGGUGACAAACCGGAGGAAGGUGGGGAUGACGUCAAGUCAUCAUGGCCCUUACGGCCUGGGCUACACACGUGCUACAAUGGUCGGUACAAAGGGUUGCCAAGCCGCGAGGUGGAGCUAAUCCCAUAAAACCGAUCGUAGUCCGGAUCGCAGUCUGCAACUCGACUGCGUGAAGUCGGAAUCGCUAGUAAUCGUGAAUCAGAAUGUCACGGUGAAUACGUUCCCGGGCCUU